rnacentral:rRNA from 1 species
GACAGAGGUCCCGAGCGUUGUUCGGAUUUAUUGGGCGUAAAGAGCGUGUAGGCGGCCAUUCAGGUCAGCUGUGAAAACUCGAGGCUCAACCUCGAGACGUCGGUUGAAACCGUUUGGCUAGAGUCCGGAAGAGGAGAGUGGAAUUCCCGGUGUAGCGGUGAAAUGCGCAGAUAUCGGGAAGAACACCCGUGGCGAAGGCGGCUCUCUGGGACGGUACUGACGCUGAGACGCGAAAGCGUGGGGAGCGAACAGG